UUGAAGCUGUUUUGACUGAGCUCAGGUGU
rnacentral:piRNA from 1 species